CCAAUAGCGUAUAUUAAAGUUGUUGCAGUUAAAAAGCUCGUAGUUGAAUUUCGGGAUUCUUCCGUUGGUCGGGCUAUCCAGUCUGUACUAGCGUGUAGAAUUUCUACCUUCUGGGGAACCAUCAUGUUAUUAAUUUAGCGUGGUGGGAAACCAGAACCUUUACCUUGAAAAAAUUAGAGUGUUCAAAGCAGGCUUACGUCUGAAUACAUUAGCAUGGAAUAAUAGAAUAGGACGGUGGUCCUGUUUUGUUGGUUUCUGAAUCACCGUAAUGAUUAAUAGGGAUAGUUGGGGGGAUUAGUAUUCAAUGGUCAAAGGUGAAAUUCUUGGAUUUAUUGAAGACUAACUUCUGCGAAAGCAGUUGCCAAGGAUGUUUUCAUUAAUCAAGAACGAAAGUUAGGGGAUCGAAGACGAUCAGAUACCGUCGUAGUCUUAACCAUAAACUAUGCCGACUAGGGAUCGGACGAUGUUAAAUUUUAUUGACUCGUUCGGCGCCUUACG
rnacentral:rRNA from 1 species